GAUUAACGCUGGCGGCAUGCCUAAUACAUGCAAGUCGAGCGAACAGAUGAAGUGCUUGCACUUCUGACGUUAGCGGCGAACGGGUGAGUAACACGUAAGGAAUCUGCCUAUAAGCGGGGGAUAACAUUCGGAAACGGGUGCUAAUACCGCAUAAUAUCUUCUUCCGCAUGGAAGAAGAUUGAAAGACGGCUCUGCUGUCACUUAUAGAUGACCUUGCGGUGCAUUAGUUAGUUGGUGGGGUAACGGCCUACCAAGACGAUGAUGCAUAGCCGACCUGAGAGGGUGAUCGGCUACAUUGGGACUGAGACACGGCCCAAACUCCUACGGGAGGCAGCAGUAGGGAAUCUUCCGCAAUGGGCGAAAGCCUGACGGAGCAAUGCCGCGUGAGUGAAGAAGGCCUUCGGGUCGUAAAACUCUGUUAUAAGAGAAGAACAAAUUGUAGAGUAACUGCUACAGUCUUGACGGUAUCUUAUCAGAAAGCCACGGCUAACUACGUGCCAGCCGCCGCCGUAA
rnacentral:rRNA from 1 species